CUAAGUAGGCGGGCCUUGAUCCCGCAAAAAUUAGUUAACAGCUAAUUACCCUAACCAGCGGGCUUCUACUCG
rnacentral:tRNA from 2 species